rnacentral:rRNA from 2 species
GCGAGUGAAGCGGCAACAGCUCAAAUUUGAAAGCUGGCCUUCGGGUCCGCAUUGUAAUUUGUAGAGGAUGCUUUGGGGCAGCCGCCUGUCUAAGUUCCUUGGAACAGGACGUCAUAGAGGGUGAGAAUCCCGUAUGUGACAGGACAUGGCACCCUAUGUAAAGCUCCUUCGACGAGUCGAGUUGUUUGGGAAUGCAGCUCUAAAUGGGAGGUAAAUUUCUUCUAAAGCUAAAUACCGGCGAGAGACCGAUAGCGCACAAGUAGAGUGAUCGAAAGAUGAAAAGCACUUUGGAAAGAGAGUUAAAAAGCACGUGAAAUUGUUGAAAGGGAAGCGCUUGCAAUCAGACUUGUUUUGACUGUUCGGCCGGUCUUCUGACCGGUUUACUCAGUCUGGACAGGCCAGCAUCAGUUUUGGCGGCCGGAUAAAGGCCUAGGGAAUGUGGCUCUCGCUUCGGCGGGAGUGUUAUAGCCCUGGGUGUAAUACGGCCAGCCGGGACUGAGGUCCGCGCUUCGGCUAGGAUGCUGGCGUAAUGGUUGUAAGCGACCC